rnacentral:rRNA from 1 species
CCUACGGGAGGCUGCAGUGAGGAAUAUUGGUCAAUGGACGCGAGCCUGAACGAGCCAAGUAGCGUGAAGGAUGACUGCCCUACGGGUUGUAAACUUCUUUUAUAAAGGAAUAAAGUGAGGCACGUGUGCCUUUUUGUAUGUACUUUAUGAAUAAGGAUCGGCUAACUCGGUGCCAGCAGCCGCGGUAAUACGAAGGGUCCGAGCGUUAUCCGGAUUUAUUGGGUUUAAAGGGAGCGUAGAUGGGUUGUUAAGUCAGUUGUGAAAGUUUGCGGCUCAACCGUAAAAGUGCAAUUGAUACUGGCAGACUUGAGUACAGUUGAGGGAGGCGGAAUUCGUGGUGUAGCGGUGAAAUGCGUAGAUAUCACGAAGAACACCGAUUGCGAAGGCAGCUUACUAAACUGCAACUGACAUUGAUGCUCGAAAGUGUGGGUAUCAAACAGGAUUAGAUACCCCGGUAGUC